UACGUAGGGGGCAAGCGUUGUCCGGAAUCAUUGGGCGUAAAGAGCGUGUAGGCGGCUCGAUAAGUCUGCUGUGAAAGUCCAGGGCUCAACCCUGGAAGGCCGGUGGAAACUGUCGGGCUAGAGUCCGGAAGAGGAGAGUGGAAUUCCUGGUGUAGCGGUGAAAUGCGCAGAUAUCGGGAGGAACACCAAUGGCGAAGGCAGCUCGCUGGGACGGUACUGACGCUGAGACGCGAAAGCGUGGGGAGCAAACAGG
rnacentral:rRNA from 1 species